rnacentral:ncRNA from 23 species
UAAGUCUUAAAGACAGUAAGUGGUCACGCUGUUAUUGGCCGUGACAUAAUAGGGAAACAGGUCAGAUUCCUGUGCGGUCCCGCCGCUGUAUAUGAGGAGUCUGUUAUGUCCGUGAAGCUGGUUACAGUUUUACAAUCACUGGGUUAUUUACCUGGGAAGAUUCAUAACAGAUGCUGAUUCAUGAGCCAGAAUACCUGCUGCUGUCUGUACCGCUUAA